GAGUGCUCAUCAACUUGACUACCUAAGUGAAUUGUCACUUGGCUUUAUUCUGAAAUGAUGUUCAGCACUCCAAGGCACCAGAGACUGCAGAGAAAAUCAUGUCUUGUGCAAUGUGUCAAGUAGUACAAAUGAAACAUCUAGUGCAAUGCAAAAACAAUGCUAUUUAAAUAAGAUGCCAAGUGAGACACAAAUAUAGGUUAAAAUGGAAUCAGUAAUGUUGCAGGACUGUUAUUAUAUGUGGUGUAGUGCACAUGCAUACGCAUGGAUAUUAGUUUAAGAGUUUUGUUAGUCAGUUAGGGAGCAGACAGAGGCCUUGGACACAGUUACAUUGAUGAACAACUGCAUAGAAAAAUCUGUCCAAUUUACAGUACAAAUGAUGCAUUUACCCUCUCUGCAGUCAUAAUGUAAAAUGUGAUUAUAGUCACUGAGCAAAUCUACUGUAUUUUAGGAUCCAUUUGCAGACAGGCAGAGACAGAGGAGGGGGUCAGAAUCCAGCGCUGUGUGUUUGUGCUUUGUGUUGAGACAGUCAGUGUUUAAAAAGAGCAUUUUGAUUCGCCUCCGAUCGAGUAGGCUCUGUCUGCCUCCACUCAUCCUGGGUGAUUAGACUAAAACAUUUGCUCGUCUUGACUGGAGAUCGAAGCAGCUUCACAUAACGCUGCUUGAUUGAAGGUCGAAAUAUUUUGAAUUCUAAUGGAGACUGUGUACAUGAAUUGCCUGAAAUAGACUGUAGAAUUUCAGCACUUCCUCCCCCUCAACCACCCCCUUACCUCCCCACCGCCCUCCCUCCCUCCCUCACUCCCUCCCUCACUCCCUCCCUCACUCUUCUCCUCUGUGGCCGCUCUGAAAAGAACGGUUGGGAAUGGUUGUGGCUGAUGAUCAUAGAAUUACUGGAUGGUGAUUCUAAACCCCUCAAAGAGGAGUUGCUAUGGAGAUCUCGUUCCAAACUGUGAAAUGAUUCCUCGUCUGAAAGGCUGGGGAGAAGAGGGCUGAACACAUCAUUGUUCAGGUGGUGGUUGGUUAGGAAAUUGCCGGUGCCUGAGCAAUCAGUGCUGCUGCUAUAGUUAAGGUUCUAAAACGGUUUGUUCUCUGAAUGAUGUGGGGCAACAGUGAUGUGCAUAUGAUGGUUCCUUUCAAUCAGACUCCACUCAGACUCAUGGGGUUGGGAGAAAUGACAGAAAGAGUGGGCUCGAAUGAAAGAGGAAUGAAAACCAUUAUUGUCUCUCAAAGCUAAUGAAAUCUAGGCCUGUCUUGAUCUAUCUAUUCUUUGCCUGCAUAAAUCUUGAAGCUGCUUGAAAGGUUAUGUUCCCUAUCAAUGUAUUACCAACUCCCUCUGUUUCCCCCCUUAUAAUAUUAUGUUAAUUACACAGUACAGAAAUUGACCUUAGUAAUCUUUGAAAAUUAAUUUGUAUUUUGAUAUUAUAUUUCAUAAAGACAUGUCUGUCAGCAAUAGAUGAGACAUUCUGUAGUCAUAAAUGUUAAGAUUUUUUAUUGAUCAGCAUUAUGUCGUGAGAUACACACACUGUUAAAUUGAACAAAUUUCCUCUUUAUAUCAUUAGGCUCCCAAGUGGCAUGACAUUGAUUUGUUUUACUUUCCAUAUCAACUACUUCUGUAACUGCGAGCACAAGCAAAAGCCAGUCCACUAUAGUUGUGUAUUAUCUGAUUAUUUUUCUGCUCUGAAGACCCAGCUGAAUUGCUUCUUCUGACAGACUCAUAAAGUAGCUUUUAUGGCUGUGAAUACCAAGGCAAUUGCAGCCGUGUAUUUGUGUAGAACCUCUUAAAAGCGAGCCAAGGAAUGCUAGUGAUAUAGAUGUUCUCUUCCUUUUUUUACAUGUGAAUACUUGCAAAGGAAGUCGACUGCCACUGAACACUGUAAUUUGAGUGAAUGAUGUUGAUCACAUGAUCUUCUAGCCAUCAAAAACAGAUGAUAGGAACAGUUUUUGCAUCAGCUGUAAAUUUGUUUAUCAUACGCCCCGCACAAAAUAUAAUUUUAUUUUAUGUUUUUUAUCAUUUAAAUAUGAUUUUUAAGCUAUUCACUGUGAAAGAUUUUUUCUGAUUCCACUGACAUGGCAUAUAGUGUAGUAUAUAAAAAAAAUUAUUACUAAUUCAAAUUGACCCUUACAUAGAACACCUAUUUAAGAAGAUCAUGUCUUUGAUCUGAUUUUUGUAUCUACUCAUUAAAAAUAUUAUUUUAAGUCAUUAUAUUUGUUUCUAUAUUAUAGAACAGAAACAAUAUAUAUAUUUUGUAUACUUUGUAAAUGUGUGUUUGGGUGUGUUUGCCUACACGUGCAUUUAAAGUUGCUGCACACCAGCGAGGCAUGUAGGUGUGUGUACUUGAGCUCAUUCGCCAGCAGCUCUGUUUUUAUUGAGAAAUUAUCCAGUCAGGCUGACUCUUUUAAACACAAAGGCCUUUGUUAGGUCAAAUAGUAAAGACACACCUGCUAAUGGGCUUUUCAAACAUACAGUAACUAAUACAACGCAGUAAAAUGUUCCAGAUAGACUUGACUUCUGAAGCUCCCCCUACCUCCCCUGCAUGCUUUUACAGUCUAACUUGUGGCUUGCCAUGGCGCCGCAGCCUCAUAAGAACAUUCUUUACAGAGGUCUAUUCAGUCCUGUUGUUAAAGGAUUUUCCAUUUGUUUCUGUGUCCUCUUUGCCUGAUAUCUCUGUAUGUCCUGAGGAAAUAGAAGGUCCUGACAUGUUGUAACUGAGGACAUAAUGUGCAGAAUCAAGCACCGGCCUUCGGAUGAAAAGGAAAAUGUUCGCCACUGUCCCCAGCAGACCAGAAAGGAGUGAGGUACAACCUAAUCGUCCCUGCUCUUGCAGUUGUCAAGUAAGCAACUUGUUUUUCUUGCUGGAAGCAAUGUCAAACGAAGGAACGAAGGAAGUUGUUUCUGUAUGACUCCUCAUGCCACUCCUCAGAGCCUCUCUGUCUCUGUCAACCACCGCAACAUAAAUCAGUGUUUGGAGCGCAUGAGUGCGUCUUGGAGCCGGAGUGGCCCGAGGCACUCUCUCUGGAACAAUGCUGAGAUCAAAGCGCUGAGUUCUGACAGCCAAUGAGUGACUUCCCAUGGCUGAAGCAGCAGAGAGAGUCUCACACCUGUACCAGGUGAUUUCAGGUAGAUCUGGCUGCAUCUAAUUGGACAAUAAAUGCAGCUCUUGGCUCACUAAUGGAGGCAGUCUGCCUUUCAGACGCCAUACUGCCAUACCUGAGCCUCUCUCUCUCUCUCUCUCUCUCUCUCUCUCUCUCUCUCUCACAAUACAGAUGAUGACACAGUGAAAGAAAAUGCACAGCAAACAAGAAGAUAAAUUGCAAUCCAAGUCUUUAAUGUGGACUGACAGAAACACAAAGAAUCAUACAUGCCUUAAGCUGUGCAUUUGUGAUUUACUCAAAGUGUCUGAGACUAUAGCUUUGGGUAUACAACUCAGAUUUGUGAAUGAGACUGAGAAAAAAAAACAUGUACAGACAGUGUAGGACAUUUCAGCACCACUACCAGUGUGAUUAUGACACGUCUCCUGCACUGUUUCCAAAGGCUGACUGUGAUAUAUUUUUUUAAAUCUAGUCCAACUCAAAGAACCUUACUUCUGCAUGUGACCUUUUGAAUGCCUGACAAAAUCCUGCAUCAUGUACACAGAUGAUAAAGUCUGGUCUUCCUUUAGAUGCUUGGUAGAUUGUACGCUUAAGAGCUUGUAGCCAUGAAACUGAGUUGAAUGGAGCAGAAUGCGAAGAGAUUGUUUCUGCAACAAAAACCUCUUCCUCAAUGUUUUCAGUUUAUUCCUUUUUUUUAAAUUGUGUAAAUAAUUGUGAAUAAUUGAUGUGGAAAAACUUGUAGUCAAAUAAAUCUCUUCGAAACAGUUGAAAUAAAAUGCUUUGUUGUUGCAUUGCUUGUUUGUUAAAUUGACAUUUUAUCAAAAGGAGAAACAAAUAUUGUGAUUACUCAACUGUGGGAAAAAAUUUUUUGUGAGGAUAAUGUAAAUGUGCUUGUCUAUCUGCUAAAAUUCUAAACU